UACGUAGGAGGCAAGCGUUGUCCGGAUUUACUGGGUGUAAAGCGCGUGUAGGUGGGACGGGUAGUCUGCUGUGAAAGCGCCUGGCUUAACCGGGCGAGGUCGGCGGAAACUCCCGGCCUGGAGGCUCGUAGAGGGGGGUGGAAUUCCCGGUGUAGUGGUGAAAUGCGUAGAGAUCGGGAGGAACACCAGUGGCGCAGGCGGCCCCCUGGGCGAGUACUGACGCUGAGACGCGAAGGCGCGGGGAGCGAACGG
rnacentral:rRNA from 1 species